rnacentral:rRNA from 1 species
CGACCGCUGGCGGCGUGCUUACCACAUGCACGUCGAACGGCAAGGCCCCUUUGGGGGUACUCGAGUGGCGAACGGGUGAGUAACACGUGAGUAACCUGCCCUUGACUUCGGGAUAACUUCAGGAAACUGGGGCUAAUACCGGAUAGGAAUCCUUGCUGCAUGGUGGGGGUUGGAAAGCUUCGGCGGUUUUGGAUGGACUCGCGGCUUAUCAGCUUGUUGGUGGGGUAGUGGCUUACCAAGGCUUUGACGGGUAGCCGGCCUGAGAGGGCGACCGGCCACAUUGGGACUGAGAUACGGCCCAGACUCCUACGGGAGGCAGCAGUGGGGAAUAUUGCACAAUGGGCGGAAGCCUGAUGCAGCAACGCCGCGGGCGGGAUGACGGCCUUCGGGUUGUAAACCGCUUUCAGCAGGGGCGAAGCUUGUGGUGACGGUACCUGCAGAAGAAGCACCGGCUAACUACGUG